UACGUAGGGUGCAAGCGUUAAUCGGAAUUACUGGGCGUAAAGCGUGCGCAGGCGGUUGUGCAAGACAGAUGUUAAAUCCCCGGGCUCAACCUGGGAACUGCAUUUGUGACUGCACGGCUAGAGUGUGUCAGAGGGGGGUAGAAUUCCACGUGUAGCAGUGAAAUGCGUAGAUAUGUGGAGGAAUACCGAUGGCGAAGGCAGCCCCCUGGGAUAACACUGACGCUCAUGCACGAAAGCGUGGGGAGCAAACAGG
rnacentral:rRNA from 1 species